UACAGAGGGUGCAAGCGUUAAUCGGAAUUACUGGGCGUAAAGCGCGCGUAGGUGGUUCGUUAAGUUGGAUGUGAAAUCCCCGGGCUCAACCUGGGAACUGCAUUCAAAACUGUCGAGCUAGAGUAUGGUAGAGGGUGGUGGAAUUUCCUGUGUAGCGGUGAAAUGCGUAGAUAUAGGAAGGAACAUCAGUGGCGAAAGCGACUUCCUGGACCAAUACUGACGCUCAUGUGCGAAAGCGUGGGGAGCAAACAGG
rnacentral:rRNA from 1 species